rnacentral:antisense_RNA from 1 species
AAGAAAGUCACUAUGUGCAGUUAUGGCCCACUUCCUUGAAGCUGGAGUAUCUGAUUUUUCUGCACAGAGUAUGAAUGACGGAUAACAGAACAAGAGACUGGGAACAUGGAGGCCAAGGGGGAACUCCUCAGGAGCUGCAACUGACACACAAAGGAAAUUUUAAGCAAGGCAGUGGAAAUGAACAAGGCAAUUUACUUCUAUAGAAGGGUGCGCCAUCACAGAUGGAGCAAUGAAUGUGAAUUCGAAUUGUUGCAGAAUGUCAAAGGAGAACUCUUCCUGCUGUCUCAGAAUUUCAGCUGGAGCUACAGAGAUCAAAGAGAGGAUGUUAAAUACCCACUAAUUUGAAAACGAGUUGCCAGGCCAGCUCUGCAGAACAUGCUAAGGGGUAACACCAAAAGACAGAUAAGCAUUUGUCUAUGACGUGCCUCAAGCCAAUACAAGGAGAAAAAAGAAGAGCAAUAAAGGAAAGACCAUGAGGAUGGGUUUCUGUGAGAAGAGCUGUAGAUUUCUCCUUUCUUCUCCAUACCUUGAGCCAAGUUGGGAGGUUGUAAAAAUCCUCUGACAGAGCUUGGGUGUGCUUCCUGCCAGGAGGAAGACUAACCUGGAGCAAGCGGGUGGGGAGAGACCUUCAGAGAAUUUGGACUCCCUACAGUCGGGGGCACAGGGUUUUGUGUUGACUUGGACUUGUAGAAGUCCGAUGCCCGCCAGGCGCGGUGGCUCACGCCUGUAAUCCUAGCACUUUGGGAGGCUGAGGCGGGUGGAUCAGGAGAUCGAGACCAUCCUGGCUAACACCGUGAAACCCUGUCUCUACUAAAAAAAAUACAAACAAUUAGCCAGGCGUGGUGGCGGCGCCUGUAGUCCCAGUUACUCGGGAGGCUGAGGCAGGAGAAUGGCGUGAACCCGGGAGGCGGAGCUUGUAGUGAGCCGAGAUUGCGCCACUGCACUCCAGCCUGGGCAACAGAGCGAGACUCUGUCAAAAAAAAGAAAAAAGAAAAAAAGAAAGAAAGAAAGAAAAAAAGUCCGAUGCC